AGUCUGCCCCCCUUUCCCGUGCCUUGCCUUAGGCAUCUCUUCCCUCUGGCUAUGCCUGAAUUAUAGCCUUUUAUAAUAAACUAGUGAAAAAAAAAAAAAGAAAUGAAGAGAGUAUUGAAAAGAAAAAAAAAAUCCACUGUGAAUGGAACGUUGAAUAUAAAAAAAAUAAAAAGUAAAAAAUAAACUAGUGGUCUAGCAAGCAAAAUGUUUCUCUGAGUUCUGUGAGCUACUUUGGCAAGUUAAUUAAAACCCAAGGAGGGGGUGGCGGGAACCUUUGGUUUGUAGCCAGGCCGUCAGAAGUAUAGGCAACAACCUGAGCUUGUGAUGGACGUCUCAAGUGGGGAGCAGUCUGGUGGGACUGAGCACUCUUGUGGGAGGCGAUGCUGUCUCCAGGUAGAGAGUGUCAUCAGUGCGUUGAAUUGGGGGACACCCAGCUGGUGCUGAGAGUUGCUUGGUUGGUGUGGGAAACCCCGCACACAUUGGAAUUGGAGUCAGAUUUUUAGGCACAUGGAGGUUCCCAGGCUCAGAGUUGAAUUGUAGUUGCAGCUGCUGGCGUAUGCCACAGCCAGAGCAAUGCCAGAUCCCAGCCAUGUCUGACCUACACCACAGCUCAUGGCAACGCCAGAUCCUUAACCCACUGAGUGAGGCCAGGGAUUGAACCUGCAUUCGCAUGGACACUAGUCAGCCAUUCAUUACUGCUCAGCCACAACAGGAACUCUGAGAAUCAAUUUUUUAAAAGCUAUGAAAACAUCUAUCCCUCUGCCUAUUACGUUGGAGGCUCUCACUAAAUUAAGAACAAUAAUUUAACAAAUAUUUACAGAGGCCCUUGCAUGUGAAAAGGGGUAUGUUGGGUGUUGUGAGGGAUGCAGAAUUGAAAAUAGACAUGAUGCAAACCUCUGGGGAGUCAGUUCCAGUGAGAAGAACAGACACCCAAGCAGCUAUAGUGUAGGACUUUUUCUCUACGAUAACAUUUAUGCCUAAGUGGUUUCUCCACUGUCUGCAAAUAACCACGUUCUCCUUUUCUUGGUAUUUCACAUUGUUUGAAAAUGUGUUCAGGGGAUAUGGUUUAUUAAAAAAAUCCCCAAACAGCACAUGGACCAAAAUUAGGUUUUAUUGGUGUGUCCAAGACAUGUUUGCAUUUAUAGGAAACAGUCUCUGUGGAAGCUCGGCCACGUGAAUUGUUUUAUGCAGCUAAAGAACUCGAAAAGCAGACAGGAAGUCAGAGCCAGGAUGGGGAGGAGAAUGGAAAAAGUCUUAAUUUCGGAAAUGACCAGGAGUUUUCAUUCUGAGAGUAGAACCCUGCCCUGGGCAGAUGGCUUUUGCUUACCUCUGAAAUAUCCUUGAGGUUUGGAGGGCUGGGAUCCGAGUGGAGAGGGCAGGAGGAAGGAGCUGGGGUUGGCAGACAGGGUCUUUGCAACCCAGGAUCUGGUGACUGGUUGGGCUCAAGUGGAUUCUCUGAAUCCAUACUCCCCAGGCAGCAGGCAGUUGGGUAGUCUGACAGCACAGAGAGUGCCGUACAAAGAGCCCUGUCUUGGGAGCCGGGGCCCCAGUUCUGGUGCUAACUCUGACCCAAAAGAACCUUUGCUGUGUGCCCAAGCACGAGUUACUUUCCUUUGCUGGGGGUUGACCCAGGAGAUUCUAAAGUCCCUUCCAGGUCAAAGAGGCUGAACUUCAGGUCUAAUCCAGCCCCUAAGUUGAAGGAGGAGCUUCAAAUCAGAACCAACCAAGACAGAUGGAAAGGCCUCUGACAACAUGCAUGGACCUUUGGAACGGAGGCUGUUCAGAAAGUCCGAAUGGAGGUCAGCGGGUGAGUCCUGCAGGUCUGGGAAGCCUCCCUACUUCUACCCUGACUGUAGUGAGUUCUGACCCGGCCUGGCCGCAAGGACUCCAAGGUCUUGGAUGCUGACCGCUGGGUGAGCUGUUGAGGGGCCUCCCCCCUUUCCUCCUAGAGCAAGAGGUGUCAAAGGUGUUUCUUCGGUGCACUUGAGCUCUAAGGAGAAGCUGUUUCCAUAGGAAUAAAUAUUCCUAGCAGUCUGGGGAGGUGGAGGGGAGAGAAAGUGGUCUUUUUCCCAAGCAAUGGAAAUAGCAGAAACUCAGAGUAAGGAUCUCUUUGCUGCAGGUAACUCCUGGAAGCUGGGAUGAUGAAAGUGGCACUUUCCGCGCUCGUUGGGGCCUUUUUUCGAUGGUGACUGUCUCUCUUCAGGGAUAACUGGGCAAUGUGGUGGGGAGACACAAUCCUUGUCACGUCUUCCAAAAGACCCAAGGACAUGAUACAGGGAAGGAAGCUGCAGAUGUGUCUGCCCGUGUCUGAACCACCAGGAAGUGACCUCUCUCUCUUGCUGUGAAGAAGGGAUUCCCGACUUCAAGCCUUCAAACUGGGUUCACUGCAGCCGCGCUGUCCACUGCGAAGUGGUUUGGCUUCCCACCGGGAGAGGGCCUCUGAGAGGCUGGAGGUUCCUGUCUCCCCUGAGUAGAGUAGCAGGAAGGGGGGGCAGGGGGGCGCACAAGUGAGGCUGUGGACUGGCAGGUGUGAGGGAUGCAAGACCACUGCCAGGCUGGGCCCCUGCCAGAGAAGCCUCGGCAUCAACUGUGAAACGUGAUUACAUUCGGAUCCUGUUUCACACCCCCCCGCCCCCCCCCCGAAAGAAAACAGUGCAGACAGCGUCCUUCCGGUCACCGUCCUUUUCUCAUGACCUCAUCCUCCUGUUUGCACCUUCCUCUGUCUUCUUUUAACUCCAUCCACUCCCAUCUCCAGGACCAUUGGAUCUAAGCUCGGGCCCUCACCACCCAUUGCCCAAACGUAGGGGCAUAAAACAACCGUUACGUUCUGCUCGUGGAUGCUGUGGGCCAGGGGUUCACAUGGGUGGGAAUGGCUUAGCUCUGCUCCGCAGGGUCCGAAGCCUCAGCUGGGAGGACUCAGAGGCUGGGGGCUGGGAUCCUCGGGGGCUCAUCCAGUCACAAGGCCGACCUGUGAUCCUGGCGGGGCGCCGGGACCUCCGUGUGGCUGCCCGCAGAACACACGCACGUGGCCGCUCCACAUCCUUGAGCCUCCUCACACCACGGCAGCCUCAGGCCCGUCUCACACAGUGGCUCAGGGUUCAAGGCUCAGAGGGCAAGGGGUCCAGCAAGUGUGGUGGCAGCUGCAAAGCCUCUUUCCACCUGCCUUUGGAUGCCACAGAGCACCCCUUCUGCCACAUUCAUGUGCUGCAUACAGGUCAGAAGCCCGUGCAGCUUCAGGGGGAGGGAUGUCAACUCACCUCGCCUCGAGAAGACGCCAAGCAUUUUCAGGGGUGUUUUAAAACCUCCGCAGAAGCUCCUGUCGCCAAAUCCAGACCAGGCCCCGCCGACACUCUCCAUCGCUUUCCCUGAAGAAGCUCUGUCCUCCUCACUGCCGGGACCCUGGGAUACUCGGGGGGUUACCGUAGGGGAGGUGCUCAAGUGGUUCCUGGCUGUCUGGCCAUGGGCAGGCUUAAGAGUGGCAGGGCCUCCUUCCCUUUGCUUUCCCCCAGGCCUGGACCCCUCCCUCCCCUCCCCCUGCCACCUCGCCCUCACACCCAGGUUCCGCUUGGACCACCAUUUCGUGGGUCGCUGAGAGUGGUUCGGCACCUUCUUGUGUGUCCGUGAUGAGUGAGCUGCGCGAUCGUGAUUCAUGCCCGGUUCAGCACGACUCCCUUUCCCUGGCAGGACCUGCACGCCAAGCCCUUGCCUCAGCGACGCUCUGACGGGAACCAUUUCUCCCUCAUGGGGUGGCUUGGGGGAGAGGCUCUCACGCACGUUCUGGAAGCCUUGGCCUGUGGUGCCUCGCGCAGAGCCUGGCACUGGCACUUGCUCAAUUGAUGACUGUUGAGUCAGUUAACCCUGACUCGCGUGGGCACUGGCUGACUCACAGGGCUUGAUUCAGCCUUGAUUCACCAGAGGAUCUGGGAGGAUUUGACGGGUGGCGAGCCCUACAUGUUCCCAGAGGGAGGAGUGUGCGGGGUUCAUGUGAUGGUGUGUUUUGGGGGGACUGGAGGCACGUGGGGAUGGUCCUGGGGCCAGGCCACAGCACCUGCUGCCAGGCCAUUUCCCUGCCCUCCACUAAGCUGCCCUGCUUCCUUAGCUCCUCUCUGGGGAACUUCUGGACCCCUCAAGCAAAUCCUCCAAGUGUCUGGCCACUUGUCAAGUUUCCAGGAGGCUCCAAUCACUGCUGUUUCCUCUUUUCUUCCCCCAAAGUUUGCAGAUAAAUCCUCAGAAGCUCCCUGGGCAAAAGCCUGACAUCAGCCCUUGAAGGACUGGAGUCAAAGGUAGGAGGUCUGGGCUUAUAGGGAGAAAUAAUAGGAGUAACUAAUGUGCUAAUCAUUCAAUCCAGCUCGAGAUGCUGGACUCCCAGGAAACUCUCAGGAAUGAUCUGCUCUUUCUCAUUUAAGGCAAAGCAAAAAGCAAAGAUUUCUAGGCUUCCUUGCAGGAAAAGGAGCUACAGGUUGGGACCACACAUCCCUGGGGAAAGGGGCUGCAAACUGACUGGGGGAGUCUGCAGCACUCUGAAAUGAACUGGCUGCUUUGCCUUUCCUUUCCGUCAUCCCUGUGCAGCCUCUGUGCAUGCACUCGCUGAGCCUCGGUGUCAGCACUAGGGUGUCGGCCGCUGCGUAUGUUGCCUCCUCAUCGGAACAACAUCUCAGUGGGUGAGAGAUUGUUAGCUCCAAUCUACCAAUGAGAAAUUGGAGGCCCAGAGGAGUAAAUUGCCCAGAAUGCACUGCAGAUAAGUGGAUGAACCAGAUCAUGUGUUCAUUCAAUGAACAUCCUAGACUAAUAUGGAUUAAUAUGGAAAGAAAAAAGAUAAGAUGAAUUGGUUCUAGUUGACAAGAAAUCCAAAAUCUAGGAGAGGAAGAUGGCAGUUAUACAGUAUGGUAGAUGCAAUGACAGAGCUAUACGUAGAGCACUAGGCUAAGCACCAUGAGGACAUCUAUGCGGACUGGGAAGCUCCGGGAAGCCUUCCUGGAGGAGGUGAUAUUUGAGCUGAGUGUUAAGAAUAAGCAGGAUUUUGCUCAGUGAAUGAAUAAAGGCUGUGGGGUGGGGCAAGGCACUUCAGAAAGAGUAGGCAGCACAAUCAGCAUUAAAAAACAGCAAGAUGGGAGUUCCUGUUGUGGCGCAGCGGAAGAGAAUCCUACUAGAAACCAUGAGGUUGUGGGUUCGAUCCCUGUCCUUGCUCAGUGGGUUAAGGAUAUGGUGUUGCUGUGAGCUGUGGUGUAGGCCACAGAUGUGGCUCAGAUCCCGUGCUGCUGUGGAUGUGGUGUAGGCUGGUGGCUACAGCUCCGAUUUGACCCCUAGCCUGGGAACCUCCCUAUGUUGCAGGUGUGGCCCUAAAAAG
rnacentral:lncRNA from 1 species